GACGAACGCUGGCGGCGUGCUUAACACAUGCAAGUCGAACGGAAAGGCCCUGCUUUUGUGGGGUGCUCGAGUGGCGAACGGGUGAGUAACACGUGAGUAACCUGCCCUUGACUUUGGGAUAACUUCAGGAAACUGGGGCUAAUACCGGAUAGGAGCUCCUGCUGCAUGGUGGGGGUUGGAAAGUUUCGGCGGUUGGGGAUGGACUCGCGGGUUAUCAGCUUGUUGGUGGGGUAGUUGCUUACCAAGGCUUUGACGGGUAGCCGGCCUGAGAGGGUGACCGGCGACAUUGGGACUGAGAUACGGCCCAGACUCCUACGGGAGGCAGCAGUGGGGAAUAUUGCACAAUGGGCGGAAGCCUGAUGCAGCAACGCCGCGUGCGGGAUGACGGCCUUCGGGUUGUAAACCGCUUUCGCCUGUGACGAAGCGUGAGUGACGGUAAUGGGUAAAGAAGCACCGGCUAACUACGUG
rnacentral:rRNA from 1 species